AAUCGCCUGCGAUGGGAGAUUGGAUUUGGGAAGCAGCCGAGAGGAACCAAACCUGUCAUCAGACAGUGGCCUCCUCUGCUGCUCGCAGGGUCACCGGCGGGGGAAGGCAGCUGGCCUCUGUCCCUGGACCCCCGGGACCACACGUGUGAGGGGGCCCAGCGCGAGCUGCCCCAGCCCUGCCCAGCGCCCUCCCGAUGCUGUGGCUGAUUCCAGACGGUGGAGCCUGAUGGUCACUGACCCAGACAGGGACAGGAAGGUGCCCGGCCCUGCAUGCAGUGGAGAGCCAGCCUUGGGGAUGCUAUGCCAACCCACUGCCCUGCAUGGGCUUGGGAGUGGCAGUGCACCAGCUACCACCCACCCAUCUGUCCACCCAUCCCUGCACUGGCUCCACUGUCCAUACAUCUGGCCACCAGCUGGUACAGCCUGCAGUCCCAGCGGGCAGCCAGGUGGACACUGUGGAUGGCCAUGCGGGGUGCCCCAGGCCUGUCCCCGAGGGCCAGGAGGCCAAGGGCAGUGAAGGGUGGCCCCAUCACCAAGCGACCACCCCCUGCUCAGUCCCAGCAGAGGGAGGCAGCCUCUGAGGAGAGCCUGGCUUGGCCCCUGAGCCUGGACCACAGGAAAUCAUUCAGGAAAUCCUUGUCUUUUUGGUCACACCUGUGACAUAUGGACAUUCUUGGGCCGGGGAUUGAACUGGCACCACAGCACUGACAAUGCCAGAUCUUUAACCUGCUGAGCGGCCAGGGAAUUCCCGCUAAAUGCUUGUUGAUCUAAACAGGAAAUCUGGAGACCCGUGAACCAGCUUCCCCCGGAAGAGGAAGCAGCUCCUGCCGCCCCUAGGCGCCCUCACGGCAUGGCGGUGGCAGCAGGCGGGGCCUCCUGAGAGGGGGCACUCACCAGCUGGCUUGGAGGGGGACACGGAGCCACGGUAGAAGGCGGAGCCAUCUCUCGCCACGGCCCACACCUGGUAGCAGGCCCCGAUGGACACGGAGGCGAAGGGCUGGGACCCAGGGGAGGGCCGGCCUGGGCCGAGGAGGAAGCCGCAGGAGGACAAGGCCACACCCAUUCCCUCCCUCUUACCUGGCCCAGCACCUUCUCCGGACAAAAUCCUUCAUGGUUUUGUACCCGUGGUAUGAGCUGCAAGAGGAAGAAGCUGAAAUCAAGACCUUUCAGUGGGAAGGUUCUGGAAAGUGUCACAGCACACGUUCUUCCUCCAGGAGUUACAGAGCCUCAGUGCCAGCCGUGGAGCAGGCCCAGAGGGUGGCAGGUAAACGUGAGUGAACCCUGCACGGCCAGCUUCCAGGCAUCUCUGGAGUGACGGUGCAGCAGAGGGCUGACCACCACGCUGGGCGAGCAGAAGUAUGUGGAUCAGAGUCUGAGAAGGACGCGAGCUGCAGGCAGGAGUGCGGUGCCCAGAGCCCCCCACCCCGCCCCCAGGCCACACGACCCAGCAGGUAAGUGCUGGGGAUACUGGGGACCCUCCUGCUGUAGAGCUGGGGCCUCCCCAGCUAAGGUGCUAAGUUACCCGCCUGGUCCCGACAGCCAGUGAGCAGGGCCGAGACAGGUCCACAUGCUCAAGCCCCAGAGAGAGGCCUGGUCCCCAACACGGCACACCUGGGACGUUGCCAGAAAUGCCAAAUCGCCUCAUUGCUCCGGGGGCGGGGCGUGGAGAAGGGCGGGAGCCAGGCUGUCAGGUGAUUCUGCUGCAAACCCGAGGGCCCUGCUCCCGAUUAGAGACGCUCCAUCUUCUCCCUGGGCCUCCCUGGGCACAGGGGUCCCAGCAGCCUCCCCGCAGAGAAGCCUCUUCUCUGCCAGACCUUGAGGCCACAGGACCAACGGGCCAGCCCUGCUCCGGGUCAGCCCCCCGACGUGGACGGACCUCCCCGGGCCCGAGGACAGGAAGGGAGGAGGCCCCACAGCCCCUCGUGGGGCCCUGGGGGGUCGGGACCUGUCUUCUCCAGCCUGGGACGAGGCACUGACCCCGCUGAGUCCCGCCACCCUGAUCACCUGAGGAGGCUGGACGAGCUGCCCGAGUGAGAGCGGUCACACUCCCGGCCGGCGACAAUGGCUUUCCACGUCCUCCCGCUGAGCUCGCUCUGGGUGACGCCCUGACGGAAGUACAGGGCCCGGUCCGCCCAGCCGAUGCCCCAGACCUGGGACAGAGAGAGGUGGCAUGGCCCCUUGACGGGGACUCUGCUCCAGGCCAGCUCCCCCCACCCUUCAGCGUGGCUCAGAAAACGACAAGCUGACUACACCCAGACCAAGCAGGACCUAGAGGCCUCCUCCCGGCGGCGGAUGGGGACGUCGCUGGAGCCCACGCGCACGUACACCUGGUGGUC